rnacentral:rRNA from 1 species
GACGAACGCUGGCGGCGUGCCUAAUACAUGCAAGUAGAACGAGUUGCGAACGGGUGAGUAACGCGUGGUAACCUGCCUCAUAGCGGGGGAUAACUACUGGAACCGGUAGCUAAUACCGCAUACCAUCAGAUGUGCCCAGAUGGGAUUAGCUAGUUGGUGGGGUAACGGCUCACCAAGGCGACGAUCCCUAGCUGGUCUGAGAGGAUGACCAGCCAAACUGUAACUGAUACACGGUCCAGACUCCGACGGGAGGAAGCAGUGGGGAAUAGUGCACAAGGGGCGCAAGCCUGAUGCAGCCAUGCCGCGUGGAUGAAGAAGGCCUUCGGGUUGUAAAGUACUUUCAGCGGGGAGGCGUUACCCGCAGAAGAAGCACCGGCUAACUCCGUGCCAGCCGCCGCGGUAAUAC